CCCUUAGAUGCUCUGGGCCGCACGCGCGCUUCACUGGUCGAUGCAACGAGUUUCUUUCCUUGGCCGACAGGCCUGGGCAAUCUUUGAACAUCGAUCGUGAUCGGGAUAGAUUCUUGUAAUUUUUGAUCUUAAACGAGGAAUUCCUAGUAAACGCAAGUCAUCAGCUUGCAUUGAUUACGUCCCUGCCCUUUGUACACACCGCCCGUCGCACCUACCGAUUGAAUGGUCCGGUGAAAUCUCCGGACUGGCGUGAGUCGGAGCAAUCUGACAAACACCGGAAAGUUGAUUAAACCUUACCAUUUAGAGGAAGGUGAAGUCGUAACA
rnacentral:rRNA from 1 species